GAUGAACGCUGGCGGCGUGCCUAAUACAUGCAAGUCGAGCGAACGGACGAGAAGCUUGCUUUUCUGAUGUUAGCGGCGGACGGGUGAGUAACACAUGGAUAACCUACCUAUAAGACUGGGAUAACUUCGGGAAACCGGAGCUAAUACCGGAUAAUAUUUUGAACCGCAUGGUUCAAAAGUGAAAGACGGUCUUGCUGUCACUUAUAGAUGGAUCCGCGCUGCAUUAGCUAGUUGGUAAGGUAACGGCUUACCAAGGCAACGAUGCAUAGCCGACCUGAGAGGGUGAUCGGCCACACUGGAACUGAGACACGGUCCAGACUCCUACGGGAGGCAGCAGUAGGGAAUCUUCCGCAAUGGGCGAAAGCCUGACGAAGCAACGCCGCGUGAGUGAUGAAGGUCUUCGGAUCGUAAAACUCUGUUAUUAGGGAAGAACAUAUGUGUAAGUAACUGUGCACAUCUUGACGGUACCUAAUCAGAAAGCCACGGCUAACUACGUG
rnacentral:rRNA from 1 species